AAUUUUUUGACUCAAUUAAGCAACUAGAUAUGUUAAAUUAUAUAGUGAUCAAACAAUAUUAUGUUUGUUUCAUGCCUAUUUGAGAAAAUAUAUGGCAAAAAUUCUUAAGAUUGUGUAUGUUAUGAUCCUAUCUCUUUUGCUAUGCUUUGUUGUAACUAAAGCAAGCAGUUAUGGUAAAGCUUGCAAAGAUGAUCGUGAUUGUCCAAAUACAGGAAAUCAUUGUAUUGCUCCUGACUAUAUGGGGUGCAUGUUCAACAAUUGUUACUGUGUGCGACGUGGACGUUGAAAUUGAUUCAAAACAAGCCCGUUAGAAUGAGAUACUGAGACCGUUGGAGACGCCGAGAGUUAAGAAGUCCUACCUCCCUUGAGAAGAGUGAUUUUCUUCGAUUAGGUUAGGAGAUCAAGAAUAAGUAGACAUAAUCUCUACAUUGCAUUUUAUGUCGGGAUUAUAUACUAUUUGCCCAGUUUUGGAUAUUUUAAUUAUUAAAUAUUUUUCAGUUGUAAGGAUAAUUUUUUGAGAUUUCAUAACAUUACUUCUUUCUAAUAAUUUAUUAUUUAUUACAGUA